CGCGGGGUGGAGCAGUCUGGUAGCUCGUCGGGCUCAUAACCCGAAGGUCAUAGGUUCAAAUCCUAUCCCCGCAACCA
rnacentral:tRNA from 39 species